ACAGAGGGGGCAAGCGUUAUUCGGAAUUAUUGGGCGUAAAGGGCGCGUAGGCGGUUUUGUAAGUCGGAUGGGAAAUCUCCGAGCUCAACUUGGGAACUGCAUCCUAGACUGCAGGACUGGAGUGCUGGAGAGGGUGGUAGAAUUCCACGUGUAGCGGUGAAAUGCGUAGAGAUGUGGAGGAAUACCAGUGGCGAAGGCGGCCACCUGGACAGUAACUGACGCUGAGGCGCGAAAGUGUGGGUAGCAAACAG
rnacentral:rRNA from 1 species